rnacentral:tRNA from 1 species
GUGUCGUUAGCCUAAUGGUAAGGCAGGAGAUUGUGGUUCUCCCUAUGAGGGUUCGAUUCCCUCACGGCACC